rfam:Halobacterium sp. NRC-1, complete genome.
GGCCGAUGACGACACCACCGGGCCGACCCGGGGUGGCUCCCGUGGGACGACGAGCCCUAUGAGUGCCGAGGCC